AUUGAACGCUGGCGGCAGGCCUAACACAUGCAAGUCGAGCGGAGCGGCGGACGGGUGAGUAAUUCCUAGGAAUCUGCCUGGUAGUGGGGGAUAACGUCCGGAAACGGGCGCUAAUACCGCAUACGAUUGAAUGACCCGCUGUCGGAUUAGAUAGGUGGCGGGGUAAAGGCCAACCAAGGCGACGAUCCGUAGCUGGUCUGAGAGGAUGAUCAGCCAAGCUGGAAAUGUGAAAAGGUCCAGACUCCGACGGGAGGCAGUAGUGGGGAAUAGUGGACAAUGGGCGCAAGCCUGAUGCAGCCAUGCCGCGUGUAUUAGGAAGGCAUUCGGGUUGUAAAGUACUUUCAGUGUGGAGGCGUUACCUGUAGAAGAAGCACCGGCUAACGCCGUGCCAGCAGCCGCGGUAAUAC
rnacentral:rRNA from 1 species